UGACAACCAAAUACAUGUCCAAAGCAGCACGACUGGACAUGCUCACAGUGCAUGCUAUGGGAUGGAACAGGAAAAAAGGUGACUCCCUUCAUCAGGCACUUUCCACAAGAUAUGUGAAGACUAGUAAGAGGCUCCUGGAAGAGACUGCAAGUCUUGAGGAACUCAAGACGGAGCUACAUUGUGUCUCAGAUGACAUGGUGUCGACGUG